UACGUAGGUGGCAAGCGUUGUCCGGAUCUACUGGGCGUAAAGGAUGCGUAGGCGGACAUUUAAGUCAGAUGUGGAAUACCCGAGCUUAACUUGGGUGCUGCAUUUGAAACUGGGUGUCUAGAGUGCAGGAGAGGUAAGUGGAAUUCCUAGUGUAGCGGUGAAAUGCGUAGAGAUUAGGAAGAACACCAGUGGCGAAGGCGACUUACUGGACUGUAACUGACGCUGAGGCAUGAAAGCGUGGGGAGCAAACAGG
rnacentral:rRNA from 1 species